GUCCACGCCGUAAACUAUGAUUACUCGUUCUCGGCGAUAUACGGUCGGGGACUAAGCGAAAGUGAUAAGUAAUCCACCUGGGGAGUACGAUCGCAAGAUUGAAACUCAAAAGGAAUUGACGGGGGCCCGCACAAGCGGUGGAGCAUGUGGUUUAAUUCGAUGAUACGCGAGGAACCUUACCAGGACUUGAACGCAUUUUGACAGAUUGAGAAAUCAGUCGUUCUUCGGACAAUUUGCGAGGUGCUGCAUGGCUGUCGU
rnacentral:rRNA from 1 species